rnacentral:rRNA from 1 species
UACGAAGGGGGCUAGCGUUGUUCGGAAUCACUGGGCGUAAAGGGCGCGUAGGCGGCCGAUCAAGUCGGGGGUGAAAGCCUGUGGCUUAACCACAGAAUGGCCUCGAUACUGUUUGGCUUGAGACCGGAAGAGGUUAGUGGAGCUGCGAGUGUAGAGGUGAAAUGCGUAGAUAUCUGGAGGAACACCGGUGGCGAAGGCGACAUCCUGGACCGGUAUUGACGCUGAGGCGCGAAAGCCAGGGGAGCAAACGGG